ensembl:lncRNA
GGUGAAGAUAAUCACUGAAUGCAUUGCAUCAAGAUCAGCCAGUAGAUCUGUCGAGAUCUGUAGAGCUUGUAUUGUGUUGAAAUAUGUGCGUGUGCCCUUCAUCGUGAACUUGAGUUAUUAAAUACGAUUGAAAUUCGGCGGCGGUGUGCGAUUGAGCCGGGAUUACACACUUCUCUCCGUUAUUCUGCUCUUUCCUCACACUUAAUGAGAACAGAAAGCUUUGUUGUGCUGAGAUCCUCUAUUCACAGGCAGCGCGUCUGUCGAACAGCUCCAGCCGUCGAGGAGGAAUGACAUCUAAUACCUGAGGGCACUUUCUUAUCUCCAACCUGUCAAAAACAGACACGGCCAUCAUUCAGAGAACGCAGCAGCCAAUGGCAAACACCUCUCCGUAUUUCCAUUGUAAGAAGCUCAGUGGAACUUCUUCUUCGUUUUCAGUGUUUUGAGGAUGAGAUGCUCCUGACGGAUGUGAGAUGUGAACAGUAACAGUACAUGUUUAGGUGAAUUAAUUAGUGCUGUUCACUAGUCAGUCGUCACUAGUACCAGUGCUGAUAGUGAUAUGGUGAAUAUGGCAUCUUUUCUUACUUUUAAAGGAAUAGUUCAGACAAAGAUGAAAGUUUGCUGAAAAUGUGCUCAUCCUCGGUCCAUCCAUGAUUACGAUGAGUUUGUUUCUUCAUCAGGUUUGUAGAAAUGCAGCAUUGCAUCAGUGUCUCAGCA